GUGGUUUAAUUCGAAGCAACGCGCAGAACCUUACCAACCCUUGACAUGCCUGGACAAUCCCAGAGAUGGGACUUUCCUUCGGGACCAGUGCACAGGUGCUGCAUGGCUGUCGUCAGCUCGUGUCGUGAGAUGUUCGGUUAAGACCGGCAACGAGCGCAACCCACAUCUUUAGUUGCCAGCAGUUCGGCUGGGCACUCUAAAGAAACUGCCCGUGAUAAGCGGGAGGAAGGUGUGGAUGACGUCAAGUCCUCAUGGCCCUUACGGGCUGGGCUACACACGUGCUACAAUGGUGGUGACAGUGGGCAGCGAGACGGCAACGUCGAGCUAAUCUCCAAAAACCAUCUCAGUUCGGAUUGGGGUCUGCAACUCGACCCCAUGAAGUCGGAAUCGCUAGUAAUCGCGAAUCAGAAUGUCGCGGUGAAUACGUUCCCGGGCCUUGUACACACCGCCCGUCAAACCAUGGAAGCUGGGAGUGCCUGAAGUCGGUUACCGCAAGGAGCCGCCUAGGGUAAAACUGGUAACUAGGGCUAAGUCGAAACAAGGUAGCCGUACCGGAAGGUGCGGCUGGAACACCUCCUU
rnacentral:rRNA from 1 species